rnacentral:lncRNA from 1 species
AUGGUGAUUUUUUUAAAGAUAGUUUUUGGGCCUGCUCUGAUUCUAUGUUAUUCUCUGGCGUUUUCUAGUGGGCGGACUUGGAGGCUGCUGGCCUGGGAAUGCCAGUGGGUCAGAGCGUGGCUACAGCACCGUGAAAUGGAGCACCUGCCCCCAGUCCUCUCAGCGUGUGCAGGCCUGGGCCUGUGUGGGGGAACCUGUGGCCCUGUCCUCUCUGCUGAGGCAAUCAAGGGUGGUGUCUGGGAGCACACCUGUCCCCUGGCACCUGCCAGGUGUCUGUCAGACCUCAGCCAUUACUGGGCUGCCUCAGCCCUGCACUCCCCCACUGCUGGAUGUGUGGCAGAUGAGGCACUUCACUUCAGUCUGUGUCUUGAGGCGGUGCCCAGGCCUUCCUGCUGCACCAAGGGAAAACCUGUAUUGAUCACAGCUGCACUAAUAACAGAGGAAGUCAUUCAGAAAAACAAGUGGCCAACAGGGGAAAGUUGUGGUUCCCUAAACAGAAGACUUCAUUCUGGAAAAACAGCCUUUACUCCAAGGAAUGCAGUCAUCUUACCUCAUUGGAGUUGUUAUAGAAAAACUCAUCCUCAUCACCAGAAUUCUCUCAAGGGGACCUGACUCCUGUCUUAUCACUUAUGUAAAAUCAAGAUCUUUUCUACUGAAGGUGAGUCAGUUAUGCUGUGUAGAAGAGGUGAAGGUAAGAAAAAAUGAUUGGUUAUUCUACUCUUGUUUGAUCGUGGCACAUUAUGUUGUGGGAGACAGUGGAGUUAUAAUUGUUUCUGAUCUGGUUUUAGAUGGAUAUUUGUCAACCAAUUAAAAACAAAUACUUGAUGUUCUGUACUAACUUAAGAAAUUGUGUAAUCCUUCCUGAAACAUCUACUUCUCUUCCUCCUUGAUAAUAUCACCUUCUAAUGUGAGUAAAAGCAGUAUUUACUUCCAUUCUUUAGUUCUGUUGAUUUGUUUGUCAACAAUCCAGCAAUAUGUUGCAUUUUCUACAUAUGUAUACCCUAAUAGAUGUGUCUCUAACCAAGCUGAAUGUAACUAGUUGACAUAAGUAAUUUUUUCUUCAUUAUAGCAAAUACUAAACUCUGAAAUCAGGUAGCUAUGCAUGGAGUGCUGCCAGACUUUCAUUACUGGAUACAUUGUUUUCUCAUCUUUUAUGCACAUUUGUAUAGUCUAUUUGGUUGAGUUGUGGAGUUGAACUGAGGAACUUGGUCUGUUUCCUUUCAUUGUGAUGAAGGGAUGAAACAACAUUAGUGGAAAUGAGCUGAAUAUUUGAAAAUCAUUC